rnacentral:rRNA from 1 species
UACGGAGGAUGCGAGCGUUAUCCGGAUUUAUUGGGUUUAAAGGGUGCGUAGGCGGAUUUUUAAGUCAGCGGUAAAAUGUCCGGGCUCAACCCGGGCCGGCCGUUGAAACUGGGGAUCUUGAGUGGGCGAGAAGUGUGCGGAAUGCGUGGUGUAGCGGUGAAAUGCAUAGAUAUCACGCAGAACUCCGAUUGCGAAGGCAGCAUACCGGCGCCCGACUGACGCUGAGGCACGAAAGCGUGGGGAUCGAACAGG